rnacentral:rRNA from 1 species
AUUGAACGCUGGCGGCAGGCCUAACACAUGCAAGUCGAACGAGCGGCGGACGGGUGAGUAAUGUAUGGGGAACUGCCCGAUGGAUGGGGAUAACUACUGGAAACGGUGUCUAAUACCGCAUCAUAUCCGAUGCACCAAUAUGGGAUUAGCUCGUAGGUGGGGGAAAGGCUCACCUAGGCGACGAUCCCUAACUGGUCUGAGAGGAUGAGCAGCCACACUGGAACUGAGACACGGGCCAGACUCCUACGGGAGGCAGCAGUGGGGAAUAUUGCACAAUGGGCGCAAGCCUGAUGCAGCCAUGCCGCGUGUAUGAAGAAGGCCUUAGGGUUGUAAAGUACUUUCAGCGGGGAGGCGUUACCCGCAGAAGAAGCACCGGCUAACUCCGUGCCAGCAGCCGCGGUAAUAC